GUAUGGUGUGUUCACAACAUCAAUAUGUCUCCAUUUAUUGGACUGCAAACAAGAGUUGGCCAAAACAAGGAAAAACAACACAUUAACUACAAAUUUAUUUCAUGAAUUUUUAAAAUCACAAAUUUCAAAAACAAAAUUCGAAAGAAAUGUCAAUGACCUGCAAAGAACAUCAACUCAUGUCAUCCAACACGCCAGUUGUUAUACACACUAUAUCCAGGUCUUGGCACUGAAGAAACUGUUUCAUAAGUUAAACAAGGUGUAGAGAAUUGUCUAGGUCAAAAUGACAUUCUAGUAGUUGAUCAAAAACUGAAUGUUUAAUUCGUUAACUUUUAAUAAUAAAAAAAAUGCAACAAAUCAAUAAAUUACUGCAUUGAUGGAUAUAUAUAUACUUCUAUAGCUUUAACAUCUGUCAAUAAAAAAAAAUGACAUUCAAAGUUUGUAUUCAUUUGUAAUUAGUAAGAUUUCAAAAGGAGUUUAAAAAAACAACAAUUGUAUCUAUUACAUUGGUGUCAGCACAAAGGUAAGGUGUCCAGAUGAUUGAAGUGCUGCUAUCAAGAAUGUUGAAGUUGAUCACUGAAGUUCUGACAUCAAAUGGGGUAAAACAUACGACUAGAAUACAUUUUUUUUUUUUUUUAACAGUUUGGAUAACAACCCCCCCUAAAAAAAAUAAUUACACAUCAUUAUUCCGACAAAAAAAAAAUUUAUAAGGAAAUUGAGAAAAAAAAUGGCAUUUCAAAUUACAGUGGAGCUUUUCGCCAGCGAGAAAGCAAAUUAAAUGUUUCAGGGGAAGUAACAAAUCAUUACAAGCUUAUUUUUUGGGGGGAGUGACGUGGACUUGAUCUCAAACUUGUGAAAACAGUCAAAAUAAUAGAAAUAAAAAAAUACAAAUACAUUCUAAGAAUUUAUUGACACAGAUCAAGAAAAUUUCAAGAUUAAAAAAAAAACACAACAGACCUGGUGAGAAGGACAAAUUGAAAAGGAUUUCUUUGUGUUUAAUCUUCAGGAUUGUCUGGCAUUGUCAAAAAGUGUUUAAAUUGGAGCAUAAGGCAUAUAGUUUCAGAUUGCUUGCUAGAAUGAAUAUUGACAGCAUUAUUUUAAGGACAGGUUGAGUUUACAGUCAUAUGUCUGAAUGACUUUGCAUGGACAUGCAGUGUGGAUGUGAAACAAUAUAUGGAAAGACAACAUUGACCUCUCCUCUAGAUGUGCUGCUGUUUCUUUUGAAAAUUAGGCUCACUCACUGUCCAAUGGAGCCUAGCAUAUGACUAUUAGAAAACAAAAGAAAAUUUCAAAACAAAAAUGACUAAGAAACAAAUGUGACAAAAAUAGCAUAUCAGUAAAGCUCACAUACCUGUAUUUCAAAAAGCAUCUUCUAAAUCCCUCAAUAGAUGUUAACAGUGAAACAGAUUCUGCUCUUUAAUAAUACAAUAGACAAAUGACACACGAGUGUUUAAAGUAGAUGAAGCAACUUGAACUAAAGGCUACACUAAAUUAACAAAGCCAAAAUUUACAAUUACCUGUGACAUUAAGUUCAGACUAUGUUCAGAUAAUAGUAGCCAAGUCAAAAUGUUUCUGAGGAGGGGGGGGGGGGGGGGGGGGU